CAGGGUGAGGAGGAGUUUUAAUUGCUGUGACUAACAUCUCCAGCACAAUGUUAAAUAGUAGUCGAGAUGGUGGGCAUUUUUGCCUUGUUUCUUCAUUAAGAAGAUGCUGCUUUAGCAUUAAGCAGAAGAGCCUUUGGGUGAAGACAUGGAAACUUGGAAAGGAAUUCUUUGUUACAGUUCUGUAUAUUCUAGAAGAUCCCUCUGGGGAGGCAAAAUUAGGAUACUAUUUCCACUAAAAUGCAUACAAAAUAAUUCGUUCAACAGCAGAGCCAAAGACCAGUGUGUGACUAUUAACCUAAGUGAUGAUCUAUUAAGAAAAGUGCUUGGAUACAGGAACUUAAAAUGUCUUCUGCAUGCCUGACUAGUCAUAGUAGCCUGUGUCCUACUGCCUCCACACCAUGUUUUUGUGGGUGCGGAAUAAUAAUCAAGGAAAAAUACUUAGGAAACUGAGACCAAGUAAAAGAUAAAGGACUUACAUACCUAUCACUGACAGUCUGAUGUUCUUCUGAUGAAAGCAACUGAUCAAAAAACUACACUUAGUUGAUAACUGUUACACAGCAUCAACUUAUUAAUACAUUUCACAAAAUUAAAAUUUCUAUAGUAGAAAGAGGUAAGUUGUGAAGCUUAUACAUGAAUAAAAACAAGUCUGCAGUAUUUGGCAGACUGUAAUGUUUCUUUAAAGUUAUACCUGCAUUUCUGCCACUCUACUCCACUAAUGAUUAAUAUUUUGAUGUUUAUCCUUCUUGUUUUUCUGUUCUAUAAAUGUUAAAAAAAAGAUGCAGAAAGAAGAAUGCUGACAAGUCUAAUUAAGAAAGCUUAACCAGGACUGGGGUGUGUGGAAUGUAUAAGUAUGGAUUAAUUUCAGCUGGUCUGUUGCAGCCCUUUGUUUAUCCCUGGGAACACCUGGAACACUCAUAUAGCUAACCCUUUGCCAAACCUAAAUGAAAUAGAUCAACUAGUGAUUAAUAUAGUCCCCUGCAAGGGUCACAGAUUAGGGGACAACUUGAACUAGCUUGUCAGCACUGUUUAUAGAAAUAGUACAGAUUAAUGGUUUGCACCUGGUUCCUGUUAUGUUUCCUUGGUUUACUGCUUUUGAGCCUGCUCAUGCAGCCUGGUUUUGACUAUAUGACCAGAGGAGGGUAUCAAAGACCUCUCCUUGUACAAGAUGGAUGUUCCCCUGAGACCACAGCAUCUUACAUAGAUCUUGGUGGUUCACACUCUGAAGUAUGUACUCUGCAACUGAAAUAGGAUCCCAGGAAUUGUGCCUGAUAGUUUUAAAGAUCUGUGACUUUUUUUUCCUCUUGUACCAAAAUCUCCACCUUUUUAAAGUCUUACCAUAACAUAGAACAUAAGGAAUGAUCAUUACUUAAUGUUAAGCAAAUAAAUGAAGAUUACAAAAUGUCAUUCCAACAACUGAUAAUUCUAUUGCCCCUACAUUUUAUUUAUUUUUUUUUUUUAAUUUUUUUUUUAACGUUUAUUUAUUUUUGAGACAGAGAGAGACAGAGCAUGAACGGGGGAGGGGCAGAGAG